rnacentral:rRNA from 1 species
UAAAGGGUGCGUAGGCGGUUUGAUAAGUCUUAUGUGAAAUCUAUGGGCUCAACCCAUAGUCUGCAUAGGAAACUGUCGGGCUUGAGAGUGGGAGAGGUGAGUGGAAUUUCCGGUGUAGCGGUGAAAUGCGUAGAUAUCGGAAGGAACACCUGUGGCGAAAGCGGCUCACUGGACCAUUUCUGACGCUGAUGCACGAAAGCUAGGGGAGCAAACAGGAUUAGAUACCCUGU